rnacentral:piRNA from 1 species
UCCUCAGAGUGGGUGCUGCCUGGUGAG